rnacentral:rRNA from 1 species
GACGAACCGAGCGAACGUUGUUCGGAAUCACUGGGCUUAAAGGGCGCGUAGGCGGGUGCUCAAGUCCGGGGUGAAAUCCCACAGCUCAACUGUGGAAUUGCCUCGGAUACUGGGUGUCUCGAGGGUGGUAGGGGUAUGCGGAACUAUCGGUGGAGCGGUGAAAUGCGUUGAUAUCGAUAGGAACUCCGGUGGCGAAGGCGGCAUACUGGACCACUUCUGACGCUGAGGCGCGAAAGCGUGGGGAGCGAACAGG